AGAAACUUAGUUAAAUAAUAACGCUAGAAUGUCAAUCUAAAAUUACUAAAAAGUAUUUUCUU
rnacentral:tRNA from 1 species